GCUAAUCACAGAAUUAUUGUUGCUGUUAUCCUAGUUUUCUUUCAAGUCCCCAGCUGCCUGGUGUGUGAUACUGUGUCUUUUCUGCAACUGGCAAGUCAAUAGCAGAGCUAAUCUGUUUUGAUUCAUAUCAUGAGGAUGCCACAGGAGUUGGAACAACUUCAGUUGUGCAAUUGCUGCGCAUUUAUGGCUUCUACUCUGGAAAAAGAAAGUAGCUGAAUGAAGAGGAGAUGAGGGAGGCUCUGAGAAAGGAGGCAGGGGACUGUCCAGAGUGAGAAUCAAGUGGAGAUAGCCAAGGUCGGUGUGGGGUAACAUGGCUAAAGGAGUGAAUGUGGUAGAGUGGUGUGACUGAGCUGUGCAGGCAGGAGGGCUGCGUGUUCUGUGCCCACUUGGGUCAGCUGGUUUCUGUCCUUGCAGCGAGAGAGUGGAAAGGACAUGGGGAACAAAGGUGAUAAGCCAUGAGGAAUUGCUGCAGGUGCUGGAGUGCCUGACUACAGCUUUUCUGAUAGUAGGUGGUGGGAUUUUAUUCCUUGCCUCCAAGGAUGCUGAGGGAAGUAGGCAAUGUCAUUCCAGGGUCACUUUGAAAGGUUGUGGUAAUUCAGGAGAGGUUUCUGUUGACUGGAAAAAGGCAAAUAUCAUACACACAUGCAGGAGGGGUGCGAAGAGGGAUUGGGCAGUUAUAAAGCAGUCAGCGUAACCUCAGUCUCUGGAGAGGUGGUGGCACACCUUCUCCUGGAGAGCCGGGGCAUGUGAAGGACAAGAGGGUUUUUGGGAACAGCCAUUGUGAGUUUGACAGGUGCAAAUUGUGCCUCACCAGCCUGUUUGCCUUCUGUGAUGAGACUGGCUCAGUGAACAAAGAGAGAGCUGCGUGUGUUGUUUACACUGGCUUUAGCAAGGCUUUUGACAUUGUCUCCCGUAGUACUGUUUUACCAAAUUGGUGAGGUAUGGGCUGAAUAAAUGGACUAUAAAUUAGAUGGAAAAUUGCUUGGAUUGCUGGGCUCAGAUGAUGGGGAUCUGUGGGAUAGCCCACCGAGUGACCUCAAGAGGUGGAGAGAUCUGGGUUUGUUAUCACAUAAUAAUUUAAAGAAAAUAAAUCCUUUGCUCCGUAAGGAAUAUAUUUAUUUUGGUGGAAAGAAGAGACCAGGCUGGUUGUAGGAAGUAAGCUAAAACCAAACACUGAAGUUCUAAGAGGCUGUACAAAUUCUCAGGUCUUACAAAAGCCUUAGAAUUGAAGGCACUCUUAUUUGUUGGUUUAAAUACUCAUUAAUGUGAGUCCGCCUUUAAAGUCUGGGCAAAACCAACUAGUCUCCAAGUUCCUCGUUGUUUCUUUAAGACUCAUUUGCCGCUGGAACUUUAUUCCCUGUGUGCUGGAACUGUUUCCUCCUGUCUCACAGUGAUCUUCGUGUGAGUUGGGUAAUUAUGUCAUCUGUGUUUCCUUUUUCUGCAUCUUGAGCAAAGUAACUCAGUGGAAGAUGUAAGCUUUGAUGCACGUUUUUUCUCUAGUUAGAAAUUUAUGUAAAAAUAUCAGGCGACUCUGACCAAGUAUACUUGAAACGCUGUAAUUACAGAUGAUCUAGUUUCACAGCUCACAGACAAAGAAAAUGUGUUUGUUUUACUUUAUUAGAUUUCUUAUAAUACGUUCACACGAAAACAAAUGUACAUAUACACACUCUGUCAAUAUUGCCAAGUGCAAUUUAUUAAGGUUUAUAAAUUUAUUCCACUAGGUCACUUUAUUGUUAAACAGACGAUGAAUGCAGGAUCAAUGCUCAAGAUGGAAAGCCUACAUUUCCAAACAUCUCCUCUGGGCCAUAUUGAAAGACCUGAGCUGAUUGGAACGGCUGAAUCUGUAGGGAGGAUUUCAACACAGCUUUGAGUACUGGGGCAUUGGAGCUGUGCAAGGAGUGGGGAGGGAAAUUCAAGCUCUCCCCCCUUCCCUUUGGUUUUUUUUUCUUUUUUGAAUUCCCCUUUAGUGGAAUCAAGCACAACUGUUGCAAUUGCCAACCUUUUUUUUUUUUAAUUCCGGAGUCUGUAAUCAUGAACUGGAUGAAAGGCUUAAGGAUUUUGGCCUAGCCUGGUGUCUAGGAAGGCUGGAAAGAUCAGCCACUGACAUUUCACCAUUAACUGUGGAAGGAAGUGGCUGCUGUCACUGGAGCCUGUGGGAAUCCCUGCUGUAGAGCAUCAUCUUCUCUCUCCCACCUACAACAAACAAAAUAGCAGUGAACCAUUAGAAAGUGAUCUCAGAGCGUGGAUUCCAACCAGAUUUGUGUUGUGUCUGCAGCUUGGGCGUUCUUUCACUUGCGAAUGUCAUAUGGGAAAAGUUACAUGCCUCAGUAACACUGAGGCAGGCACUCACCGCGAGGCUGGAAACGUUCUUGGUGAUGAAGCUGAGACACAUGAAUUUACUGAGGGCAGGAGUGAAAGGCAAUUCGGUGCAGAUUUUGUAACAGAGAGGAGGUAUGGAAGAUGGUUAAUGUGACAACAGUCGCUGAGAAGGUCCCCAGGAGUGAAGUGGAGAACUGCAGACCGUCACAUUGGAGUCUGUACUGAGCAAAUCAGAAGCUCUGGCCUCAAACUGCCCUGGGUGAAGACAGUAGCUGAAGCAAUUACUGAAGUGUUAGUGACUAUCCUGGAAGUUCUUGGAAGGGCAGGAUGGAACUGGCGAUGCUGUGGCUGGGGGAGGCGGAGGUCGGCAGCCAAAGGCUGGAGCAGCAGCCGCAUCCUCGAGUGGCAGCAGUGCAGUUUGAAGCUGUGGUUGUGCCAGGGCUGCUGGGAGAAGGGCCGGGCUGGCUGAGCACUGCAGUCCCCUCAAGCUGGUGAAGAGCUACAGAGACCCCGUUUGAAGUAGAAAGGACUGGGUUUUGCCUUCAUUUACGCCUCGAGGAGCUGCCACAGGAGGAGGGGCCAGUGUUUGCCAGCUUGCUCUGCUCCCUGCAGCCCUCACUGGGGAGCCGCGCCACAGGAAAUGCUGAGCAGGAAUCGGGCAUGAGAGCAUCACACUGGGUUGGUUUUGCUCUUGGAAACAGAAGGUGGAGCAAGCCACAACUGAGACAAGUGCAUCUACAGCCUGUGUGAGAUUUUAUGCUGUCUCAUUUGGAUUGUAUCUCAAGGAGGAUUUAGAAGAGUGAUGACUGCAAGCUGGAGAUCUGCUGCCUUCCCCAAGCUCGCAGGCAGCACUCUUCCCCUGCAUGUGACAUGUGCAAUGCCCACAAAUUCAGAGGACGGCUCCCGGCUGCGUGUGAUGGUGCUGUGACUGCAACCAGGAUGCACGUGGGGCUGAGAGCUGCCCGUGGGUGCCAGGAGGGCUGAACCCAAGAGCGACAGAGAUGUCUGAAGCACAACUCUGGUGAGGUACAAAGCUCUAAUCUGAGGACAGGCAUCCCUACAAACACCUCCCAGCCUCGAUGCCUCAAGGAACUCGUCCAAUAAGCCACCCAGGCUUCACAUGCCCUGUUCUACUUGUGGGAUGGGCAGAGCAUCCUGUGCUGCCUGCGCUGCGUCACCGCACGGCGUUGCUGAAUGACUGGAGGCAUCUGAGCGACAUCUCCCAGCCCUGAGCGGAGCCGUGUGUCCUUCUGCAGCACACACUGGGAGCUAUGGAGCAAGAUGAACUCUGUGCCAGGCAGAGCUGUGCUUCUCGCUCUGCAGCGGCUUCAUUCCUCCAUCAGAAGCCUGGGAAAGUCUCCACUGGGAAAGUCAGACCCGGACACAUUUCUGGGUGUUGUGGGAAAUCCAGAAGAUGGGAGAGGAGAUGAACCUUUUCUUGUGUUCUCAUUGGAAGCGUGGUGGAGAUGACCCAAGCCUCACCCGUGGUGCUCAGCAGGGGCUUGCUGCCUGUUGGUGCACACCAAGGUGUUGGCUGGCAGCCACCAGCGUGCAUGGAGGUCAGGACAGGGCUGAUGGGUGGGGUCCUGGAGGGAUGUGGGCGUACUGGAGGGGAAGGAGAUAUGUGGGAAAAAUGGGGAUGGUGGGCAGGGUUUUCUCAUAGAAGAUGCAAGAUAAGCUCAGGAACAGCUCAAACCCAGCAUGAAGAUCUGGCCAGGCACUUGCCAUACAACCAACUUGCUGCUGCAGCUCAGGGCUUCUAUGGCCAGCCUCCAUCCCCAAGGUGAGCUGCUGCCAGCCCAUCCCUGGCUCCUUCCCCACAUCCUUUCUUUUUUCACUCCAGAAAAGACAAAGCAGGAUCCUUGCUCCGCGCUCCCGAUGGGGCGGUUUUGAGCAGGACAAUCCCUUUGGUCAGGCAUCAAAUACCAGCAUGCGAGCCAUCUGCUUCUUUGACUGAAACACCCAGCGAAAAGCUGCUGGAUUGGAAAAAGGAUAUUAAUCUGAAAAGCACACAACAAAGCGACUGCAGGGUGUUCCCCCCCCUCGAGCCAGAGCGAGCGAGGGAAAGCUGAUUACCAUGACACACAGGAGCCCUGAUCUAAUAUUCCACUUCAAGAUUUGCAAAUAAUGUGCCCAUUAACAUUCAUUAGCUCUUUAAAUAAUACCUGCCAGGCCUUCUAGGCAAGGAGGAAAGGCCCCUGCGCCCAGAAAUCAAUCACACAACGGCCUCUAAUUGUGUGUUUUCCACAUUUACUCAAAGCUUCCGUAAAACGUGGCCAGGACUGUGCAAAGCCGAAGCUGUCGCUCUGUGUGCCCACGGGUGGGGCUGGCUGGAGAUGUCCUCCCCAUCCCAGCCGUGGGAUGAGGAUCCCUGCUGAUAGCAGCUGCUCCCCAGCAGAGGGAAGGCUCUGCAGGAAUGUGUCACAGCAGCCUCACGCUGCCCAAAAUAGCUUCUGUCCUCCGCCAUCAGUGCAGUCUGCGGGGAUAAUGUGGUGGGAAGGAAGAGGCUGGUGGCAUGUCCCAGGAGGGGACAUUUCACUUGAGUUUUGGUGAGUGGCUCCAUGGUGCUGCUGUGCAGCUGGUGAAUAUAUAGGUUUAGAAAUUGAGACUGAUACCCCAAGUCGUGCUUUCCUUUGCUCCACUUGCUGAGAUGCAGAGACCUUCCUCAUCCUUCAGCUCCUCCUACCUAAGGACACUCAAGGUUAGGCUGGACAGGGCUCUGAGCACCUGAUGGAGCUGUAGGUUCCCCUGUUCAUUGCAGGGGAGCUGAUCUAGAUGACCUUUGAGGGUCCCUUCCAACGCAAACGAGUCUUUGAUUCUGUGACUUUCAGGCACCCACAGGAAGGUGACGUGGUCCCAGUCUGAAGCCCUGCAACUCGUUUGCACUCCAAAGAAUCACAGAAUCAUAGGGGUUGGAAGGGACCCCUGGAGAUCAUCCAGUCCAGCCCCCUGCUAAAGCAGUUCCCUGCAGCAGGUUGCACAGGCAGGCGUCCAGGCAGGUCCUGAAUAUCUGCAGAGGAGAUUCCACCAGCUCUCUGGGCAGCCUGUUCCAGGGCUCUGCCACCCUCACAGGAAAGAAUUUCUUUCUCAUGUUCAGAUGGAACUUUCUGUGUUGCAGUUUGCGCCCACUGCCCCUUGUCCUGUCGCUGGGCACCACCACACAGAGCCCGCCCCCAUCCACUUGACUUCAGAUUCUUUAAAGCAUUCCUAAAGUUCCCUCUCAGCUUCUCUUCUCCAGGCUGAAGGGUCUACCAGCCUUUCUUCAUAAGAUAAACAGUCCAUGGCCCUAAUCAUCUUUGCAGCCCUCAGCAUCCAGUAAUUCUGAAAUGGGAAUUGCAGACUGGAGAUCCCUUGGUGUCAUGAGACAGGUUGCCCAAGGUUUGCUCUUGGAAGAAGGCUCUGACAGAGGCUCUUACAUGUAGGGACAACGCCAAUAUCACCUUCUUUUCAGAUGUUUUAAGCUGAACAGCUCCUCAUGCCACCUUCUGACCUGUGCAGCACCAGUAUUGAUCUGAGCUAUUUGGAUAUGAAAAGAAAUCAACCUGCCAAAAGAAGUGGAUAGUUUCUUGGCAAGACAAGAGAGAUGUUCUGAUCCUUGCAUGUAGCAGGGAGCCAGGUCAGCCCCUUGGCUGACACUGUGGCAUUCUGGGCUGGCCACCAUCAAUGCCCAGCUGCAUUCACUCUGCUGGCACUUGGUGUUAGGCACGAUACGCUCGGCUCAGCUGCCACGCAGGCUCGGUCUGGAUUUGUCUAGUGGUUUUAGUGCUUUUAAAGAAGAGAUGUACAAGAGCAGAUGAGUAGGUCCCUCUGCACAGGGCCAGGAGCAAGCCUGGAGGCAUCAGCGGGUCUGUACCGUGUUGUGUUCCUUAGAAAAUGACUCUGUGCUGUCCCAGAUGUUACAGUCAAAGCCAAAAUACCAUUUGGAAAAGGCAACGCUUUCCUUGUGCAGCAAGGAGACAGCUGAGCACUGUUUAUAGAUACAUUUAAUCAGCCCAAAAUGAGUUUCAUGGAGGAGGUAAUAGACAACCUAAUUAGUGACUUGUCUGUGGUCUAACUAGCCAGGUCAGGGAAGGGCACCAAAAAAGAAGUGAUAGAUCCUGCAAAGAGGCCACACCUCUGCAGGAUUAAUGAAAACCAUUCCCCAUGUAAGAAUAUUCUUGAGCAAUGAGAGGACUGGAGAAUAUUUUCAGCGUGUGAAGGUGAAAUACAAAGGGAAAUAGCGGACAAGCUUUUUUUAAUGUGCAAAUGAUACCAUGGUACAGGAAAAAGAAAUAGUUUUGCAUAAAUACCUCUCUCUCAGUAGAUAGUGCAAAGAAAUACAAAAGCAAAAUGAGCUUGAGCGCACUUAAAGGGCAGUGAUCUGAUGAAGAUGAGAAGCGCAGAGUUAAUGUUCUCUCCUGGAUUUCUUCACAAAGUUAUCAAGUAAGUUUUCCCCAGACCGCUUCACAUCCCUGCAAACGAGAAAAAGGGAAUUAGAGGCUGCAGGGAGGUGGUGGAUGUUGGCAUCGCACCGAGGUGAGCAAAUGGACAGUGACCACCGCUGGCCGUGUAGAGGGGAGGUGGUCUUCAGACGGGUCCUUCCCACCCCUCCCCUCAGCUUGCUCCCACUGCCCCCAGGUCACUGCCCCAAAACCAUUCUCCCCUUGGAUUCACCAUACCUUACUCACAAAAGCACUCUCUGAUCCUUCCUGCUAUCUCACCAGCUGCCAUCUAAUUUAUUCUACCAGCUACCGCAAACUUAUUUAAUCUAAAGCUCCUGCAAGAAGAAAAAAAAUAUAUCUAUUUUAUGCUAUAUCCUCUCCAUUUCCCCAUUCAAUACCUGUGUGAACUUGGAUAAAAUCACUACUUAAUAGCGUCGGUCAGGCCCCGCUGCGUGUUCAGGAGCCUUGCUGGAUCAGCUGCUGAAAGUCUGUAUGGAACCUGUGAGCAUCUUGUAGUGCAGAGGGAAGGAUUAAAGCACCUGGCACACAAGGAUGGCCCCAGUCUGCAUCCAUCCACGUUACACCUGGGGCCAAGUACUGCACAUGGCAUUGGUCUCACCCAGCUGGGUGACGGGAUGCCAUCAGAGGGUCAGCUGUGAGCUCUGGGGACAGGGACAUACACUCUAUAGCAGAGGGGCUGGGAAGGAGCCCUGGGACACCAGCCCAGGCUGCUGCCUUCCCACAGGGGCUGCCCACAGCCUGAGGUGGCACCACCCAAAGCAAGUGAUGGGGAGCAGGUGUGGGCUCGUGGCAUCCCUACAGCGUCUCUCUGAAGGUGGGAGAAGCUCAGCCUGGCUGGGUUUCAGGAGGCUUCCAUUUAUCCUAGAACAGUUUUCAGCUGUCUUCCCUGCAGUCCCUCCCCAAGGUUUUGGUUUUUUUUUUUUUUUUCUAUCCCUUUUGCAGUCCCUGAAUCAUCAGCCUCUAAUUAUUGCCUGCAGAUAAACAUACACUUCUCCCUGGAAGAAGUCCAUUUUUUUUUAAAAACCUAAAAUUGAGGGCAGUUAGCAGAUGCUUGGGCGGCGUGAACACUGCAAUGCAUUACUAAAAUGAGCUCUCGCCCCUCUGCUUUGUCAUAGUUAGCACCACUCUCUGUCACAUUUGGGCUUUUGGGGAAGUUUUUGGAACCCCAAGCAGACAGCAAUCUCCAGUCUGAGGAAUGUCAGACCACGUGGUUUAACGGGCACUAAAAUCAGGGCACUGAUGGAGGUUUCUAUGCAGCUAAUGGCUCUGCAGGGGUGGCAGAGCAGAGACGUAGUGGACACGUGGUGAUGGGGGAGACCUGGCCCCGACCAGGAGAUCCCCAUUCCCACGCUGUCCUUGUGGCCCAGCAUCUCUGUAGCCACCAAGUUGGAACCGAAUGGAGCCAUCAGCAACAAUUAUUCCCAGGCAACUGUGGUAUGCAAGACCUUUGUGUUAUGGUUGUCCAUAAAUAGUUAUUGUAAAAAAAAAAUAAUGUUAUUUUAAAUCCAAAAGCUGUCACGUUUCCUUCCUAAAUGAUAACUAGAUCCUUAUAGCACCUGAAGAGGUUUUCUAUCUAUUUCAAUUUAAAGCUUCAUUUGUAACAAAAGAGCAUUAAAAUAGGAAAACAUCUUUUUUAAGAUAUAGCUAGCUCUAAUAUUUGAUAACUUAUAAAAGUUAAUAUAUGUUUAUAUUAUCUGAUACAUAUAACCUAUUAAAUUUAAGCAACACUGUGCUAAACUGAACUGAAAUUAUUAUUGUACUGACAUAAGGAGCAUAAUAACAUCCAAAGCACUGGGUAUCACAGAACAGGAGGAAGACCCGUGUACUGCGCUGAGCUUCCCACUGCUCAUCACCAAUGCUGCUGCACUAAAAUGACCAACGCAGCCAUGCAGGCUUUCACACUGUGGCUUUCGUGGUGGCUUGGUGUUGGCCUGGGGGCAGGUAUUGGCCUUACCUUGGCUCUGACUGCGGCAGAAGGAUGAGCUCAACCAGAGACAGAGACCAGCAGGGUUUAUGGCCAUUAUUAAUGAUGCUUUUCCGUAUUAAUACGGAGCGUGAAUGUCAGUGUGAUUGUAAGUGGAAUAAUAACUGUUUGUUACACUGCGAUGAGGCUGUUAGGGCUGUAAUUAGGGCAACAAUAAAUCCGCGGCUCUGAGCAGGGAUGUUCCAUUUGCCCACGAUGACGCUGGUCUGAGAGGUGCGAGGAGGGCAGGGGACAGUGCUGUGACACCCCCAGGUGGCUGUGAUUCUCCGGGGGACCUUGUUAGGGCCUGGAGAUGGAGCAUCCGAGCGCAGUGAGGAGAAUGGUCGGGGCCAGCCCUCAGCAAACACCUCGUGCCAACCCCCAUUGGCUGGCGCUUCAAUUAUGAGACAAAGCAGGAUUGCUUGUAGCAGUUAAUCAGGGGGCAGGUGGCUGGAGUUGUCUCACCCAAAUGCUCGGGACACUGCUGCUUUUGUACUGCCAGAAAUAGGAGGCUGUUAAAAUACAGCUGAGGGAGGGGAGCAGCUCAGGGUAGCAUCCACCGACCCACCUGGUAACGCCUCCCAUUGCCUGCACGAUGAGCGUCCCAUUCACUUUGUUUCUCUGAAAUCCUAUUUAGGGAACUGGCUUGUAAGAUGUGGGGAAACAACAAUGUGACUUUCAUAUCACUUUGUGAGGAAACUACUUGAAUGCGCUCUUGGUUUAUCUUGAGAAACCAGUCACUGCGACUGCAAGCUGGAGCUGGGGAGCGCACUUUCAUGCUGGUUCCAAUUGAUAAGCCCCAAACCGAGCUUGAUAGUUGUGUCUUGUUUACCCAAGUGACAAGACGGUUCUUUGUGUCCAAACACUCCUCUAAAAGCACAUACCUCAAGUAAAGCUGAGCGAGGGACUUCGGUUUUAACGCUCUCCUUAAUGCACGAGGAGGGGAGCAGCUGCUGUGCAGAACAACCCCAGACACGAAGCCUGGAAGCAAUCAUAUCCUCGCUUUGCCUGGCUUUGUCUGCUAAUAGUUGCUUCCUGCUCAGCACACAUGUUGUUCUCAGGGGCAGAACGGGAUGGCUUUGCUCCCACAGCACUCACCUGCAGAUCAGACGCAGCUUCCUUGGCCAGCAGCUGCGGGGUGACUUGGGUUUACUGGCUUGAUUUACGAUGCGUCCUCUAUUUUAACAGCUGGAGUUCAAAUCAUCAUUUCACACAGAACCGAAGAAUCACAGAAUCAUCAGGGCUGGAAAAGACCUCUAAGAUCAUCUAGUCCAACCAUCCACCUACCACCAGUAUUGCCCGCGUAUUGCAAGCAUGAUCGGGUGGCCUCUAUUUCUGAAGCUGUGAUUUCUAAACUUGUCUAUUCUAUUUUGUCUAAUAAAGUGUUUUAAUUUC